GUCCUACUUUUGUCGGAAAAAGAUUUUGAACUGUGUCAGGGCUGAAAAGAAGCAGCACUUAUAAAUAUUUUUUUGGACAAUUGUAGGCCUCC
rnacentral:SRP_RNA from 1 species